rnacentral:tRNA from 1 species
GUUUUGGUAGCUUAAAUAAAGCGUCGAUCUUGUAAGUCGAAGACCGGGGGUUUGAAUCCCCCCCAAAACA